GCGUGCAUUGAAGCUCACCGUCAUGGAAGUAACGUCGGGACAACGGCAGUGUUCACCUCAUACCCAAAGCCUUAGUGAUGAAACGAGAGGAGAAAUCAUACCGAGGCAGAUGGAUAUACCCGUGUUUUUCUCUCAACACUGUGCCAGAUGCUUCGUGGUAUAUAUUUCUCUUUUAUCCUUUUUUUUAACUCAUCACAGUGAACAUGUCUCCUCUGAAUAGUGCCGAUACGUAGGUUUGAACUAUUUGGAACUAUUUUUCGCUCCCCUUGUGGUGGGACUAAAAUUAAUUUCAGCGUUUACAGGGAAUGAUUGACAUUUCAGUAGCGAAGUGGUAGGACGAGGUACGCGAACUCAUUGCUGAGAUUUAAAAACUAAUUGAAUGGAAAUUCUGGCCGGCUGCCCUAAGUGAGGUUGAGGAAUUGAUUCGGUUUAGUCGAGCUCAGCUGAUCAGGUCGGUCCUCAUCAGAAAUUGAUCAGGUUUUGAUGCAGUAAAUUUGCUCAGGAGAAUCUGAUGGAGUGGAGUUAAACUCAGUCUGAGGUCAGGCAGCCUGAAGUCAUUCUGAUCCAAAUUUAGUCUUAUCUUACUAAAUUUUUCAAACGAUCUAUUUCGGAAUUGUAUGAUAUCACAGCACAAUUGCUAUUCAAUUUAAUUAAGUUUUCAUUCUGUCUAAUCAUUCAUGGAAAAUGUUUUUGUAAAUAUGAAGUUGACUUAUUACAAUAAAAUUGUCCUAUGAAAGUG